GAUUUCAACUGAAAAAGUCAUCAACAAUAAAAUUGUAUAACUCAUCAAGAUCUAUAACUUCUAUUUUGAUCAUUUCUUUAUCCGACAAAGUGAUUUGUAACAUUGUUCACAAAAUGUACAUAUCUGUUUUAUAAACUAUAAGAGAGAUAUGUAAAUUUUAAGAAUAUGUUACGAUCACUUUGUCGGAUGAAGAAAUGACCAAAAUAGAAGUUAUAGAUCUUGAUGAGAUAUACAACUUUAUUGUUGAUGACUUUUUCAGCUGAAAUC
rnacentral:pre_miRNA from 1 species